rnacentral:rRNA from 1 species
CCUACGGGUGGCAGCAGUGAGGAAUAUUGGUCAAUGGGCGGGAGCCUGAACCAGCCAAGUCGCGUGAGGGAAGACGGUCCUAUGGAUUGUAAACCUCUUUAGGCGGGGAGCAAUGCCGGGCACGCGUGCCCGGAGGGAGAGUACCCGCAGAAUAAGCAUCGGCUAACUCCGUGCCAGCAGCCGCGGUAAUACGGAGGAUGCGAGCGUUAUCCGGAUUUAUUGGGUUUAAAGGGUGCGUAGGCGGUCGGAUAAGUUAGAGGUGAAAUCCCGAGGCUCAACUUCGGAAUUGCCUCUGAUACUGUUCGGCUAGAGAGUAGUUGCGGUAGGCGGAAUGUAUGGUGUAGCGGUGAAAUGCUUAGAGAUCAUACAGAACACCGAUUGCGAAGGCAGCUUACCAAGCUACUUCUGACGUUGAGGCACGAAAGCGUGGGGAGCAAACAGGAUUAGAUACCCUUGUAGUC